AUUGAACGCUGGCGGCAUGCUUUACACAUGCAAGUCGAACGGCAGCGUGGGCUUCGGCCUGGCGGCGAGUGGCGAACGGGUGAGUAAUGCAUCGGAACGUGCCCAGUAGUGGGGGAUAGCCCGGCGAAAGCCGGAUUAAUACCGCAUACGACCUGAGGGUGAAAGCGGGGGACCGAAAGGCCUCGCGCUAUUGGCGCGGCCGAUGUCGGAUUAGCUAGUUGGUGGGGUAAAGGCUUACCAAGGCGACGAUCCGUAGCUGGUCUGAGAGGACGACCAGCCACACUGGGACUGAGACACGGCCCAGACUCCUACGGGAGGCAGCAGUGGGGAAUUUUGGACAAUGGGGGCAACCCUGAUCCAGCCAUGCCGCGUGCGGGAAGAAGGCCUUCGGGUUGUAAACCGCUUUUGUUCGGGAAGAAAUCCUCUGGGCUAAUACCCCGGGGGGAUGACGGUACCGGAAGAAUAAGCACCGGCUAACUACGUG
rnacentral:rRNA from 1 species